rnacentral:rRNA from 1 species
UGGGGAAUCUUGCACAAUGGGGGCAACCCUGAUGCAGCGACGCCGCGUGAGCGAUGAAGGUUUUCGAAUCGUAAAGCUCUGUCCUAUGGGAAGAUAAUGACGGUACCAUAGGAGGAAGCCCCGGCUAACUACGUGCCAGCAGCCGCGGUAAUACGUAGGGGGCGAGCGUUGUCCGGAAUUACUGGGCGUAAAGGGUUCGCAGGCGGCAUGGCAAGUCCGAUGUAAAAGGCGAAGGCUCAACCUUCGUAAGCAUCGGAAACUGUCAAGCUUGAGUGAAGGAGAGGCAAGUGGAAUUCCUAGUGUAGCGGUGGAAUGCGUAGAUAUUAGGGGGAAUACCGGUGGCGAAGGCGACUUGCUGGACUUCAACUGACGCUGAGGAACGAAAGCGUGGGUAGCAAACAGG